GAUGAACGCUAGCGGCGGGCUUAAUACAUGCAAGUCGAACGGCAGCACAGCAGAGCUUGCUCUGUGGGUGGCGAGUGGCGGACGGGUGAGGAAUACAUGGGAAUCUGCCCAGUCGUGGGGGAUAACGUAUGGAAACGUACGCUAAUACCGCAUGCGCCCUAAGGGGGAAAGCCGGGGACCGCAAGGCCUGGCGCGAUUGGAUGAGCCCAUGUUCGAUUAGCUAGUUGGCGGGGUAAAGGCCCACCAAGGCGACGAUCGAUAGCUGGUCUGAGAGGAUGAUCAGCCACACUGGAACUGAGACACGGUCCAGACUCCUACGGGAGGCAGCAGUAGGGAAUAUUGGACAAUGGGGGCAACCCUGAUCCAGCCAUGCCGCGUGAGUGAAGAAGGCCCUCGGGUUGUAAAGCUCUUUUGUCCGGAAAGAAAAGCAAUCGGUUAAUACCCGGUUGUCCUGACGGUACCGGAAGAAUAAGCACCGGCUAACUUCGUGCCAGCAGCCG
rnacentral:rRNA from 1 species